GCACCUCUAGCUCAGCUGGUAGAGCAGUAGACUCUUAAUCUAUUUGUCCAGGGUUCGAUUCCCUGGAGGUGCA
rnacentral:tRNA from 1 species